UUAUCAUUCUCAAAAUGCUAGUGAUCCAGCGACUAUAAGUAAAUUGGUUAGCAUACUGAAUAAAAGUAGUGGGGAAGUUGUUCAGAAACGACCCAGGUGUUUAACAAAGCAUAUGAAUGCUGUGGUUGAGCUAAAGUUUCAGCGGCCCGUGUGCAUAGAAAAGUACAGCGAUAAUAAAGUACUUGGUCGAUUUAUGUUGAGAUAUUCUGGAGACACUAUAGCUGCUGGUGUUGUAACAGAGAUAAAGUGAUGAUGUAAUUUUAUCAAUGAUGUCUGAAACCAAUGAAGAAAUGUCUGAAAUCAAUGAAUCAUUUAAGUUUUACUUCAUGAAACUUGACGAAUCGUGACGAUACCACGUGACGGUAUGCGAUGUAGCAGUUGUAGUAUAUCAUUGCAAGAAAUCAACAAAUCGAAUGAUGCUUUUUUUAUUUAAAAAUAAAAUGUAAAUAAAAUAAAAUUAAAGACAAAAUUU
rnacentral:lncRNA from 1 species